AGCGAACGCUGGCGGCAGGCCUAACACAUGCAAGUCGAGCGGCCCUUCGGGGCAGCGGCGGACGGGUGAGUAACGCGUGGGAACGUGCCCUUUGGUACGGAACAACUGAGGGAAACUUCAGCUAAUACCGUAUGUGCCCUACGGGGGAAAGAUUUAUCGCCAUUGGAGCGGCCCGCGUUAGAUUAGCUAGUUGGUAGGGUAAUGGCCUACCAAGGCGACGAUCUAUAGCUGGUCUGAGAGGAUGAUCAGCCACACUGGGACUGAGACACGGCCCAGACUCCUACGGGAGGCAGCAGUGGGGAAUCUUGCGCAAUGGGCGAAAGCCUGACGCAGCCAUGCCGCGUGAAUGAUGAAGGUCUUAGGAUUGUAAAAUUCUUUCACCGGGGACGAUAAUGACGGUACCCGGAGAAGAAGCCCCGGCUAACUUCGUGCCAGCCGCCGCAGUAACAC
rnacentral:rRNA from 1 species